AAGAUAAUGAUUUCCCAAGCCACUUAUCCUUCUGGGUCGUGGGGGGUCUGUAGCCUAUCCUGGAAGCUACAGGAAUGAGGUUUGGAUUGGCAACCUUGUAAUCUCAGAUACCAAAUCCUAAACCACCAAGGCAGAUGCUGAGCAUUCUGUAUACAGUGGAUUGUAUGCAAGAUUUCAUUUCUCUCUGAUGAAGCACAGACUAUGGUGGAGGCUGGAGUCCCGAGAGGAAGACCAUGUGACCUACACAGGAACUGCACACACUGGGCAGGAGCAGGCUGAACUGUCACCCCUGCCCUGCUGCCUGUGACGUCUCUCCCACCUGCCCUGCUGCCUGUGACGUCUCUCCCGCCUGCCCUGGUGCCUGUGACGUCUCUCCCGCCUGCCCUGCUGCCUGUGACGUCUCUCCCGCCUGCCCUGGUGCCUGUGACGUCUCUCCCACCUGCCCUGG